UGAGCUUGAUCCUGGCUCAGGACGAACGCUGGCGGCGUGCCUAAUACAUGCAAGUCGAGCGCAGGAAGCCGGCGGAUCCCUUCGGGGUGAAGCCGGUGGAAUGAGCGGCGGACGGGUGAGUAACACGUGGGCAACCUACCUUGUAGACUGGGAUAACUCCGGGAAACCGGGGCUAAUACCGGAUGAUCAUUUGGAUCGCAUGAUCCGAAUGUAAAAGUGGGGAUUUAUCCUCACACUGCAAGAUGGGCCCGCGGCGCAUUAGCUAGUUGGUAAGGUAAUGGCUUACCAAGGCGACGAUGCGUAGCCGACCUGAGAGGGUGAUCGGCCACACUGGAACUGAGACACGGUCCAGACUCCUACGGGAGGCAGCAGUAGGGAAUCAUCCGCAAUGGGCGAAAGCCUGACGGUGCAACGCCGCGUGAACGAUGAAGGUUUUCGGAUCGUAAAGUUCUGUUAUGAGGGAAGAACAAGUGCCGUUCGAAUAGGUCGGCACCUUGACGGUACCUCA
rnacentral:rRNA from 1 species